CCUACGGGGGGCUGCAGUGGGGAAUAUUGGACAAUGGGGGGAACCCUGAUCCAGCCAUGCCGCGUGUGUGAAGAAGGCCCUCGGGUUGUAAAGCACUUUCAGUGAGGAAGAACGCCUGGUGGUUAAUACCCAUCAGGAAAGACAUCACUCACAGAAGAAGCACCGGCUAACUCCGUGCCAGCAGCCGCGGUAAUACGGAGGGUGCGAGCGUUAAUCGGAAUUACUGGGCGUAAAGCGCGCGUAGGUGGCUUGAUAAGCCGGUUGUGAAAGCCCCGGGCUCAACCUGUGAACGGCAUCCGGAACUGUCAAGCUAGAGUGCAGGAGAGGAAGGUAGAAUUCCCGGUGUAGCGGUGAAAUGCGUAGAGAUCGGGAGGAAUACCAGUGGCGAAGGCGGCCUUCUGGACUGACACUGACACUGAGGUGCGAAAGCGUGGGUAGCAAACAGGAUUAGAUACCCUGGUAGUC
rnacentral:rRNA from 1 species